GCCGGUUUAGCUCAGCUGGUAGAGCACCUGAUUUGUAAUCAGGGGGUCGCGGGUUCGAGCCCUGCAACCGGCACCA
rnacentral:tRNA from 1 species